GAAGUGCGAACCAAGCAGUCACACGCUGGUGAUGUGAGACUUGGAGCUGACCUUGGUGACGGGGUCAUGCA
rnacentral:ncRNA from 1 species